UUCGCCUGUGGGGCAGCCCACUCUUGCCACUUUACAGUUACUCCAGUUAUUACUUUACAAUUGCUUUGCUCCACAGAAACUGAACCCUGAGGAACCCGUGGCAUCCAUAUAAACUGCAAACCUGGCAAAACCAGGAGAUGUGCAAAGCAAAAAAAGCAUAUUGAGUCUGGAGAGAGCGGUUUGGAGAAUGUUUCCAACCAAGCUGAGAAGAAUGACACAUGAAUUGCCCCUUCCAAGUCAGUGGGACCAGCCAGGCUGGACAGAAUCCUAACCAUGCUCUAAGUUAGUUUUAAGUUGAUGGUUAUGCCCAAAGAAGCUUUAUGCUCUUGGAGCACUGUAGGCCCGAGCAGAUGCCAGCUGACCAUCUGGGCUCCUGACUCACAGCAUUCUGCUUCUGGAGCUGAGACCCCACUCACAGUAGUGACCCCCUCAUCGAGCAAGUCUUCUGGCAUGAGCUUUCCCUGUGGCAGAAAAACCUCUCGGAAGCGUGACUGCAAAACAGUGAUGACCACCUGAGAUAAACCCUGUAAGGUGCUCGGCUGUGCUGAUGACAAUCUGCAGUUACUGGGACAGCGGACUGCGCUGGGGCUUCACCAGUGGAUGACUCCAUCAGGUCUGAGGUAUGGGGCAACUACCCUUGCUACUUUGGUAAUAAAAUGACACCUAAGAACAGUCCCACGGAAGUAAGGAAACCAAUAUAAUGACUUUUCUCUGCUGCUUCUGGCAUGUCUGCAAAUCUAAAUGGGGCCUAUGAAUCAAAACCUUUUGGAAGCCUCCCGUGGGGUGAUGUGUACCACAGAUUCCUUAACAACUCCACUUAAAUUACAUACACUUUUUUUGCAAGCACAUACAUUUUUCUUGCAUGCUGACUGUCAAAUCCUUUAUGCCUCCUCACCACC